rnacentral:rRNA from 1 species
CAUUACCGAGUUUACAACUCCCAAACCCCUGUGAACAUACCUUAAUGUUGCCUCGGCGGAUCAGCCCGCGCCCCGUAAAACGGGACGGCCCGCCAGAGGACCCAAACUCUAAUGUUUCUUAUUGUAACUUCUGAGUAAAACAAACAAAUAAAUCAAAACUUUCAACAACGGAUCUCUUGGUUCUGGCAUCGAUGAAGAACGCAGCAAAAUGCGAUAAGUAAUGUGAAUUGCAGAAUUCAGUGAAUCAUCGAAUCUUUGAACGCACAUUGCGCCCGCUGGUAUUCCGGCGGGCAUGCCUGUUCGAGCGUCAUUUCAACCUUCAAGCCCCCGGGUUUGGUGUUGGGGAUCGGCUCUGCCUUCUGGCGGCGCCGCCCCCGAAAUACAUUGGCGGUCUCGCUGCAGCCUCCAUUGCGUAGUAGCUAACACCUCGCAACUGGAACGCGGCGCGGCCAUGCCGUAAAACCCCAACUUCUGAAUGUUGACCUCGGAUCAGGUAGGAAUACCCGCUGAACUUAAGCAUAUCAA